CCGAGUGAGGGCCUCUGGCCCGACCUCCAACCCUUUGUUAAUCAAUACCUCGUUGCCUCGGGGGUGACCCGGACCUCGCGUCCGGGGCCCCCGGUGGACCACAUUCAAACUCUUGCAUCUCUGCGUCGGAGUCUCGAGCAAAUCGAUUA
rnacentral:misc_RNA from 1 species